rnacentral:rRNA from 1 species
GAUGAACGCUGGCGGCGUGCUUAACACAUGCAAGUCGAACGGUGAAGGCGGAGCUUGCUCUGCUGGAUCAGUGGCGAGCGGGUGAGUAACACGUGAGCAAUCUGCCCCUGACUCUGGGAUAAGCGCUGGAAACGGCGUCUAAUACUGGAUACGAGCUGCGAAGGCAUCUUCAGCAGCUGGAAAGAACUUCGGUCAGGGAUGAGCUCGCGGCCUAUCAGCUUGUUGGUGAGGUAACGGCUCACCAAGGCGUUGACGGGUAGCCGGCCUGAGAGGGUGACCGGCCACACUGGGACUGAGACACGGCCCAGACUCCUACGGGAGGCAGCAGUGGGGAAUAUUGCACAAUGGGCGAAAGCCUGAUGCAGCAACGCCGCGUGAGGGACGACGGCCUUCGGGUUGUAAACCUCUUUUAGCAGGGAAGAAGCGAAAGUGACGGUACCUGCAGAAAAAGCGCCGGCUAACUACGUG